UACGGAGGGUGCGAGCGUUGUUCGGAAUCACUGGGCGUAAAGCGCGUGUAGGCGGUCUGCUAAGUCUGAUGUGAAAGCCCGGGGCUCACCCUCGGAAGUGCAUUGGAAACUGACAGACUGGAGUCCCGGAGAGGAGGGUGGAAUUCCUGGUGUAGCGGUGAAAUGCGUAGAUAUCAGGAGGAACACCGGUGGCGAAGGCGGCCCUCUGGACGGUGACUGACGCUGAGACGCGAAAGCGUGGGGAGCAAACAGG
rnacentral:rRNA from 1 species